rnacentral:rRNA from 1 species
CAGCAGCCGCGGGAAUACAGAGGAUGCAAGCGUUAUCCGGAAUGAUUGGGCGUAAAGCGUCUGUAGGUGGCUUUUCAAGUCCGCCGUCAAAUCCCAGGGCUCAACCCUGGACAGGCGGUGGGAACUACCAAGCUGGAGUACGGUAGGGGCAGAGGGAGUUUCCGGUGGAGCGGUGAAAUGCGUUGAGAUGUGGAGGAACACCGAUGGCGAAGGCAGCCCCCUGGGCCAAUACUGACGCUCAUGCACGAAAGCGUGGGGAGCAAACAGGAUUAGAUACCCGCGUAGUCCCUGUCUCUUAUAC